rnacentral:rRNA from 1 species
AACGAACGCUGGCGGCAUGCCUAACACAUGCAAGUCGAACGAGAUCUUCGGGUCUAGUGGCGCACGGGUGCGUAACGCGUGGGAAUCUGCCCUUUGGUUCGGAAUAACAGUUGGAAACGACUGCUAAUACCGGAUGAUGACGAAAGUCCAAAGAUUUAUCGCCAGAGGAUGAGCCCGCGUAGGAUUAGCUAGUUGGUGUGGUAAAGGCGCACCAAGGAGACGAUCCUUAGCUGGUCUGAGAGGAUGAUCAGCCACACUGGGACUGAGACACGGCCCAGACUUCUCCGGGAGGCAGUAGUGGGGAAUAUUGGACAAUGGCCGAAAGCCUGAUCCAGCAAUGCCGCGUGAGUGAUGAAGGCCUUAGGGUUGUAAAGCUCUUUUACCCGGGAUGAUAAUGACAGUACCGGGAGAAUAAGCUCCGGCUAACUCCGUGCCAGCAGCCGCGGUAACAC